GAUGAACGCUGGCGGCGUGCCUAAUACAUGCAAGUCGAGCGAACAGACGAGGAGCUUGCUCCUCUGACGUUAGCGGCGGACGGGUGAGUAACACGUGGAUAACCUACCUAUAAGACUGGGAUAACUUCGGGAAACCGGAGCUAAUACCGGAUAAUAUAUUGAACCGCAUGGUUCAAUAGUGAAAGACGGUUUUGCUGUCACUUAUAGAUGGAUCCGCGCCGCAUUAGCUAGUUGGUAAGGUAACGGCUUACCAAGGCAACGAUGCGUAGCCGACCUGAGAGGGGGAGCGGCACCCGGGGACCUGGGACCGGUCCCGACUCCCUAGGGGGGGCAGAGGAGGGGAUCUUUCGGCAAGGGGGGAAGCCCGGACGGGGCAACCCGGGGGGAUGAAGAAAGGUCUUGGAAUCUAAAAACUUUUUUUUGGGGGAAAAAAAAAUGGUAAGGAAAUAUGCCCCGCUUGAAGGUACCCAAACAAAAAGGCCCCGCCAAACUCCGG
rnacentral:rRNA from 1 species